GCCUACGGGCGGCUGCAGUGGGGAAUCUUGCACAAUGGGGGCAACCCUGAUGCAGCGACGCCGCGUGAGCGAUGAAGCCCUUCGGGGUGUAAAGCUCUUUCGGCCGGAACGAUGAUGACGGUACCGGCAGAAGAAGCUGCGGCUAACUACGUGCCAGCAGCCGCGGUAAUACGUAGGCAGCGAGCGUUGUUCGGAGUUACUGGGCGUAAAGAGUGCGUAGGCGGUGCUCUAAGUUUGGUGUGAAAUCUCCCGGCUCAACUGGGAGGGUGCGCCGAAAACUGGAGUGCUCGAGUGUGGGAGAGGUAAGCGGAAUUCCUGGUGUAGCGGUGAAAUGCGUAGAUAUCAGGAGGAACACCUGCGGUGUAGACGGCUUACUGGACCAUGACUGACGCUGAGGCACGAAAGCGUGGGGAGCAAACAGGAUUAGAUACCCUUGUAGUC
rnacentral:rRNA from 1 species